CUCACUGGGUAUCUGGGAAGGAGGACGGCGAGGCAUUGACAAACAAGAGAGAGAGAGAGAGAGAGAAAGGAGGAGAUGGUGGAAAGAGGGGGGAAGGAAGAAAAGAAAAGCGUUGCGUUGCCUCCUGCGCUUCGAUCUCCCAAGGACGUCAUCAAUCGGAUCUUUUGCCAGCUCGACUGCGUUGAUCUCCUCCAUUGCUCCCUCGUUUGCAAACAGUGGUACAGAGACUCCGCAGAGCUAAGGGAGGGUUGGAAGAAUGAAUAUCUAGAAGCUUGUAAUUUGAGAGGUUUGUGCAUUAAGAGGGAGACUCAUCCACCAUCAGCAUCCUGUUCUAUCAGAGGUCUGCAUAGCUGGUGCUUUUGAUUCUUGCUGCUGCCAUUAGGCUUUGUUCAACUUUGAAGAAGAAACCAUGGGAGAAGCUUACAAAAUGAUGCAUGUACAGAUACAGGGAAAAGAAUGCUUUUGUAAAAAUGGGGUGAUUCAUGAGCUUGAUUUGAGAUUGUAGUAUAGCUAUAUAAGUGCAUCUGUAUCAAACUACACUUUCGCAGGAAUAUGAUAAAAAAUCUGCUCUUGUUUAA